GUAUGAAGGUAGCAUGGUGAUGUGCACAGAUAGUGAAUCACAAGGUCGUCAUGUCUGCUUGCUCUGAUGCCAUCUUUUGGCUUUCUGAUUUGCAGGCCUGGAUUAAACCUACAUUU